GGAGAGGCAGGCGGGAAGCCGCCCCCUCGGACCGUGCAGGUGCUCGGCCGGCCUCGGAGCUUGCCCUCUCGCUCUGGCUUGGUCCCCAGGUGUCGGGGACCCAUCACCCAGGGGCGGGGUCCCCAAGCCAGGGAGACUGGCGGAGUGGGUGGGGGCGAAGCCCAUUUAGAUUCAGACGGAAGCGGGUCCUUAGAGACUGCCGCGAGGAACAAAGGCGCCCCAGUGCUGCCCACUUAGCAUGCCAGGGCCGCGCCGCGUCGCUGGGCUCCCGGGGCCAGGGACGCUUCUGGGGCUGGGAGGGGGGCCCCGGCGCCCAGAAAUUCCUAAGACCAAGGCACCCCUGAGGCCACCGCCGCACACCAGCUUCAGUGCGCCCCCAUUAAGCCCUCGGGCACAGACCGCUGAGUCCAGGAAACUGUGACCGGCUUGGCUUUGAGUGAGACGCUCACCCCUGCCUGCCUUCUUGCCGUGGUGACUGUCAUUUGUCUUUACCUGAGGUCGUCGCGAAAAAGCCUUAUUUACACUGCCAAUCCGAGCCUUUAAAACAUUUUUAAAUAGUUUUAUCUUAGUAUCCUGGAGAAGUUAGGGCGCAGAGAACUUGGGUUGUUUCACCAGACACUAGGAUCCCUGUGAGAAGUCAGGGGCCUUUGGAGCGAGCCAUCAACACCACAGGUGCCCUGUGAAGAUUGCAUGGAAGAAUGCACGUCCCAGGUGAGCGCUGAGAAGAGCGAGAUGCCCCCUAGGCACAGACAAGUGUGCAGAAACAUCAGACUGUCUUAAAUCCCUCCAAAGAAGCAUUUUUUGAAGGUUAACAACUGCCCAGAAGCAUUGAUUGUGGAUCAAACCACCACCACCACCCCCUAAGUAAACAGUCUGAAAUGGAGCGGUUAGUCAUUGUUGAAUACAGAGUGGCUUUUACACAAUACUGUGGCUGCAUGCUAAUUAUGAGAGUUAGUAGACUGUGACCGUUAACAGAGGCUCAGAAAUUCCACUCAACCUUUAAACAACCUAGAACUCCUUUAAAUUCCAAAGGAAGCUGUUUGAGUUUGAAACAGAGAUUUGCAUUUUUUUUAAAAAUUAAGAUAGACCCAUUUGGGCCCAAAGCACAUGAUUCUGGGCACAGCACCCCUUGAAAUGGCCAGAGCUGUCCAGUGCUGACAAAUACCAGGGUCCCAGGGCCUGCCUUGUUAUUGUUGUUUGACUUGGUAGCAGAGAGCAGUCAUCCCAAUUCUGCCUCAUUUCCCUCUGAGUUCUAACACUAGAGACAAAGCCACUGAAUGGUAUACAAUAGUCUAAGCACUUUUAUUCAUCUUUUAACAUCAUUUUAAUACGUGGGUCAUUACAAAAGUUUUGAGAUACACAAAAAUCAGGAAAUGUAAAAUCCACACUGCUGGGAACAAAUGAAGCCCUCCCAGCCCUCCCAGCAACACCAUAAGCUGUCAACAUUUGCACAGGUGAAUCAGAAAGGAUGCUGUUGACUGUUUCUUGAAAGUGAAAUAAUGGAUCAUAACACAGUCUGUCUGAAAACUCUUAUAGCAAGAGAGCGGGAAGAGAAGCAUGGCCUUCCGCAGAAGUAGCAGAGUGGUAGGGCUGAGGAUGGGCUGCUGUGUAUAUGACCACAGGCUGCUACCUGCUCAUUAAGAUCCAGGAAGUUCAGCAUGGAGACUUGCGGGACACCCUGGAGACAGCAACCAGACACCUGGGAGAAAUUGUGUGCCCCACACUCUUGCUGGUCCAGAGUUUGACACUAUAAGGAAAAACACGGAUAUUGACAAAGAAAUUCAGAACAACUCUGAGCAUAACCAGUUUCCGGAAAAGCUGAACUCAUGUGGGCCUGAGACUGUUACGUGAUACAAAUCCAUGUUGAAUCAAAUCCAGAAGAGCUC